GAUGAACGCUGGCGGCGUGCUUAACACAUGCAAGUCGAACGGAAAGGCUCCUGCUUGCAGGGGUACUCGAGUGGCGAACGGGUGAGUAACACGUGGGUGAUCUGCCCUGCACUUCGGGAUAAGCCUGGGAAACUGGGUCUAAUACCGGAUAGGACCACAUUUUGGAUGGUGUGGUGGAAAGUUUUUCGGUGUGGGAUGAGCUCGCGGCCUAUCAGCUUGUUGGUGGGGUAAUGACCUACCAAGGCGUCGACGGGUAGCCGGCCUGAGAGGGUGUACGGCCACAUUGGGACUGAGAUACGGCCCAGACUCCUACGGGAGGCAGCAGUGGGGAAUAUUGCACAAUGGGCGCAAGCCUGAUGCAGCGACGCCGCGUGGGGGAUGACGGCCUUCGGGUUGUAAACUCCUUUCGCUAGGGACGAAGCGUUUUUGUGACGGUACCUGGAGAAGAAGCACCGGCUAACUACGUG
rnacentral:rRNA from 1 species